UGGCAAGUCGACCAAAGGCGAAAGCAGUCAUCAAGGGCAUGCCCGUUGAUCAAGAGCGAAAGUUAAGGGUUCGAAGACGAUCAGAUACCGUCGUAGUCUUAACUAUAAAUGAUGCAAACCAGGGAUAGGACACUGUCCAUCUCGACUCCUCCCGAACCUUAUAGAAAUUACAGUCUUUAGGUUCUGGGGGGAGUAUGGUCGCAAGGCUGAAACUUAAAGGAAUUGACGGAAGGGCACACAAAGAGUGGAACCUGCGGCUUAAUUUGACUCAACACGGGAAAACUCACCAGGUCCGGAUACACGUAUGAAAGUCAAGCUGAAAGACUUUACUCAAUGAUGUAAGUGGUGGUGCAUGGUCGUUCUUAGUUCGUGGAUUGAUUUGUCUGGUCUAUUCCGAUAACGAGCGAGACCCCAUCGUUCCUAAUAGGGGCGGUAGCCCGCCGAUCGAAAGGUCGGCAGCCUCCGCUUAAGAUUAACUUCUUAGACGUAUCAGAGCCGAUAAGGUUCUUGAAAUGGGUUAAUAACAGGUCAGUCAUGCCCUUAGAUGUUCUGGGCCGCACGCGCGUUACAAUGGCAUGUAUAGCGCGUGCUUGAAAAGGCGUCUCCGGGGCCGAAAGGUCCUGGUAACCCUUAAUCCCUGCCUUGACUGGGAUAGAUCUUUGCAAUUAUUGGUCUCCAACGAGGAAUUUUUAGUAGUCGUAGGUCAUUAACCUACGACGAAUGC
rnacentral:rRNA from 1 species